rnacentral:rRNA from 1 species
AGCGAACGCUGGCGGCAGGCCUAACACAUGCAAGUCGAACGAACCCUUCGGGGUUAGUGGCGGACGGGGGAGGAACACGUGGGAACGUGCCGGUAGGUUCGGAAUAACUCAGGGAAACUUGUGCUAAUACCGAAUGUGCCCUUCGGGGGAAAGAUUAAUCGCCUUUAGUGCGGCCCGCGUCUGAUUAGCUAGUUGGGUGAGGUAAUGGCUCACCAAGGCGACGAUCAGGAGCUGGUCUCAGAGGAUGAUCAGCCACAUUGGGACUGAGACACGGCCCAAACUCCUACGGGAGGCAGCAGUGGGGAAUCUUGCGCAAUGGGCGAAAGCCUGACGCAGCCAUGCCGCGUGAAUGAUGAAGGUCUUAGGAUUGUAAAAUUCUUUCACCGGGGACGAUAAUGACGGUACCCGGAGAAGAAGCCCCGGCUAACUUCGUG